rnacentral:rRNA from 1 species
AACGAACGCUGGCGGCAGGCUUAACACAUGCAAGUCGAACGGGCACCUUCGGGUGUCAGUGGCAGACGGGUGAGUAACGCGUGGGAACGUACCCUUCGGUUCGGAAUAACCCAGGGAAACUUGGGCUAACACCGGAUACGUCCGCAAGGAGAAAGAUUUAUCGCCGAAGGAUCGGCCCGCGUCGGAUUAGCUAGUUGGUGGGGUAAUGGCCCACCAAGGCGACGAUCCGUAGCUGGUCUGAGAGGAUGA